UUAACACCUUGAUGCUGCAGUGUUUUGCUUGGAAAAUUGUUUUUGGUACAAUACACGUGUCUUGCCUCUGUUGGGGUCCAAUUUAAACUUCUCUGCAGACAAGCUACUUUAUAAAUGGUUGAGAAAAUAUGACAGCAAAUAUGGAAAGGAAAUGUUACAUGCAUUGUGAGCCUCUUCAUCAUGGAAACGCAUUUGGAGAAUUUGCUCUAGGGGUUGAAUUGCCUUUCAUAAUCUGGAAAAUGUUAAUAAGCUGAAAUUAUAAGGUGGAGAAGAAGAAGGUGAAAUCCAUAAAUAGGCAUAAAACGAGUGGAGUGGGUUCCUAUCAAAUAGGUCGAUUCUCUCCCUUUUUCUCUGUUUACUUCCUUUUCUCUUCUUUCUUGCAUUUCAAUUCUCUACUGUUUGCUUCAUUUAAAUAAACUCUAGUAGGUCAUUUAAACAUGAUCCAAGUCAGAAUCGAACAGGUCAUCUAAACGUAAUCCAGGUCUCAAAUAGAACAAUUUUACUGUCAAAUAUUGUUUUCUGGUGGCAAAAAUAUCAUUUUUUUU